rnacentral:rRNA from 1 species
UACGUAGGGGGCGAGCGUUGUCCGGAAUUAUUGGGCGUAAAGAGCGUGUAGGCGGUUCGGUAAGUCUGCCGUGAAAACCUGGGGCUCAACCCCGGGCGUGCGGUGGAUACUGCCGGGCUAGAGGGUGGUAGAGGCGAGUGGAAUUCCCGGUGUAGCGGUGAAAUGCGCAGAUAUCGGGAGGAACACCAGUAGCGAAGGCGGCGCGCUGGGCCAUUCCUGACGCUGAGACGCGAAAGCUAGGGGAGCGAACAGG